rnacentral:rRNA from 1 species
GACGAACGCUGGCGGCGUGCCUAACACAUGCAAGUCGAACGGAGAUAUGCGAACGAGGCCUUCGGGCGGAGAUUGCAUAUUUAGUGGCGGACGGGCGAGUAACGCGUGAGCAACCUGCCCUUCAGAGGGGGAGUAACGGCUGGAAACGGCCGCUAAUACCGCAUGACAUAUACACAAGGCAUCUUGAGUAUAUCAAAGGAGGAAUCCGCUGAAGGAUGGGCUCGCGUCCGAUUAGCUGGUUGGUGAGGUAACGGCUCACCAAGGCGACGAUCGGUAGCCGAACUGAGAGGUUGAUCGGCCGCAUUGGGACUGAGACACGGCCCAGACUCCUACGGGAGGCAGCAGUGGGGGGAUAUUGCACAAUGGAGGAAACUCUGAUGCAGCGACGCCGCGUGGGGGAAGAAGGUCUUCGGAUUGUAAACCUCAGUAGUCAGGGAAGAAGCAAGUGACGGUACCUGAAGAGUAAGCUCCGGCUAACUACGUGCC